rnacentral:rRNA from 1 species
GACGAAGGAUGCAAGCGUUAUCCGGAUUCAUUGGGUUUAAAGGGAGCGUAGGUGGCCUUAUAAGUCAGUGGUGAAAUCUCUCGGCUUAACUGAGAAAUUGCCAUUGAUACUGUAGGGCUUGAGUACAGUUGCUGUGGGCGGAAUAUGACAUGUAGUGGUGAAAUACAUAGAGAUGUCAUAGAACACCGAUUGCGAAGGCAGCUCACAAAACUGUAACUGACACUGAGGCUCGAAAGUGCGGGAUCAAACAGG